rnacentral:rRNA from 1 species
GACGAACGCUGGCGGCGUGCCUAAUACAUGCAAGUAGGACGCAGUUGCGAACGGGUGAGUAACGCGUAGGUAACUACCUAUUAGAGGGGGAUAACUAUUGGAAACGAUAGCUAAUACCGCAUACUAGUAGAUGGACCUGCGUUGUAUUAGCUAGUAGGUAGGGUAAUGGCCUACCUAGGCAACGAUACAUAGUCGGGCUUGUAGGGUGAUCGGCCACAAUGGGACUGGUACACGGCCCAGGCUCCUGCGGGAGGCAGCCGUAGGGGAUCUGCGGCAAUGGGGGGAACCCUGACCGAGCAACGCCGCGUGAGUGAAGAAGGUUUUCGGAUCGUAAAGCUCUGGUGUUAAGGAAGCGGUACUUAACCAGAAAGGGACGGCUAACUACGUGCCAGUAGCCGCGGUAAUAC